rnacentral:miRNA from 1 species
UUCAAUAUACCGGAUGGUCUGG